rnacentral:rRNA from 1 species
AUGCCGGCCAGAUCCUGCGACGGCGCCGACGCGAGCCACCAAGGGCCGUGGACUCCCUCUCUGGCUGCGCUUCCGCCAAACCCUAGCGGCUCGGCGUCCCGGCGACCAUCUCCGAGGUGGUUUCUUUCUGCAGCAGCCAGCCCAUGGAGAAGGCCCGGACAAAUUCUCGGAGCAGUACGCCCGCCGCUCCAGCACCUUUCCUCACCGCCGUCGUCAUUCAAGGUUCUCUCUGUGGUUGAAAUUUGGCAAGAUGAAGUUGUUCCUAUGGUUUCUGUCAUGAAAAUUAAAAUGACACCUUUGGAGUCUUGUGCUGACAUGGGUGGUUUAGAUGCUCAAAUUCAAGAGAUCAAAGAAGCAGCUGAACUUCCUGAGCUAUAUGAGGACAUUGGAUUCAGGCCUCCGAAGGGAGUCAUACUGUAUGGGGAACAGGGAAAGCUUUACUUGCAAAGGUACAGAAUAUUGCCACUCAUCAGUAUCUGCAGCAUCUAA